UACGAAGGGGGCUAGCGUUGUUCGGAAUUACUGGGCGUAAAGGGCGCGUAGGCGGUCCUGAUCGUCGGAUGUGAAAGGCCUGGGCUCAACCUGGGAACUGCAUCCGAUACGGCGGGACUGGAGUGUGGGAGAGGUUGGUGGGAUUCCCAGUGUAGAGGUGAAAUUCGUAGAUAUUGGGAAGAACACCGGUGGCGAAGGCGGCCAACUGGACCACAACUGACGCUGAGGCGCGAAAGCGUGGGGAGCAAACAGG
rnacentral:rRNA from 1 species